GACGAACGCUGGCGGCGUGCUUAACACAUGCAAGUCGAACGGAAAGGCCCUGCUUUUGUGGGGUGCUCGAGUGGCGAACGGGUGAGUAACACGUGAGUAACCUGCCCUUGACUUUGGGAUAACUUCAGGAAACUGGGGCUAAUACCGGAUAGGAGCUCCUGCUGCAUGGUGGGGGUUGGAAAGUUUCGGCGGUUGGGGAUGGACUCGCGGCUUAUCAGCUUGUGGGUGGGGUAGUGGCUUACCAAGGCUUUGACGGGUAGCCGGCCUGAGAGGGUGACCGGCCACAUGGGGACUGAGAUACGGCCCAGACUCCUACGGGAGGCAGCAGUGGGGAAUAGUGCACAAUGGGCGGAAGCCUGAUGCAGCAACGCCGCGUGCGGGAUGACGGCCUUCGGGUUGUAAACCGCUUUCGCCUGUGACGAAGCGUGAGUGACGGUAAUGGGUAAAGAAGCACCGGCUAACUACGUG
rnacentral:rRNA from 1 species